rnacentral:rRNA from 1 species
UACGUAGGGUGCAAGCGUUGUCCGGAAUUAUUGGGCGUAAAGAGCUCGUAGGCGGUUUGUUGCGUCGGCUGUGAAAUCCCGAGGCUCAACCUCGGGUCUGCAGUCGAUACGAGCAAACUAGAGUGUUGCAGGGGAGACUGGAAUUCCUGGUGUAGCGGUGAAAUGCGCAGAUAUCGUUUGGAACGCCAAUGGUGAAAACAGACAGCUGGGAGUGUGCUGACGCUGAGACACGAAAGCCAGGGGAGCGAACGGG